UAUAGUUUUAUCUUUAGAUAUCUUAAGAUGUUUAUUAUUUAUAUUAAAUACUUACCUGCUGGUUAUUGUUUGUGGUUUUAAACCGAAUUAUAUAUUAAGCUCACAAUACAUAAGUCUACACGGUAAUUUAAAUAUCGUUAUUUGACUUAAAUAUUUAAUACAGUUUUGGAAAAGUUAAUACUCGCAGGUAUAUAAUAAUAAUUAUCAUAAGUAUAGUAUACGAAAUGAAAAGAAAAAAUAUCAUAACUCAAUAACUAUAGGGUUUAUAAUAUGUUUUCGGAACAGAAUUCAAUUUUGGAUAGCAACGCGGAAAUCACAUAAUGUUUCAACAAACAAACAAACAUAACGAAAGGGUUUUAAUUUUGGGGGAAAAAAGAUGAAAACAAAAUAUAAUAAUAUGUACUAACUAUUUGUCCCGAAUUUAGCAAAGUUUUAAAAUAACUUACAGCACACGUAAGAAAAAACACAAGAUUGAUCUAUAGAAAACUGAAAACAUAAAUUCUGUAGACAACGUAUUUCUUGUGCUAGAAAAAAUAUAUACUCUUACGCAAACGGCCGUAUUUGAAAUCGUAAUAAAAUUCUAAAACCAGCGGAGUACGGCCAAUUGUAGCGUUUAUUCAACGAAACAUUUCGUCGUAGAAACAUUGAAAACCGACAGAACAAUAGACACUCAACGCACAGCAGCAACAGCAGCAGCAGCAGUCGUAAUAUACAUUGAUGGCUAAACCAAAUUAUCAACAUCACAAUGGCAUAAAAAUAAAAUAUCCUUUUGCCGGAUUCCCGCGUGUUAUUCUGCGAAAAUACUAGGAAAUGAAAUAAUACAUAUAUAUAUAUAAAAGGAACCGAGAAGCCGAAAACGUUCGAAUCCGACAUAAAAAUGAAACGUACGAGUAUACACGCUGCACGCGGGCGUAUACAGACCAGGCGGGUGAGCAGUUUAAAAUAUUAAGUUCUGCGUUUUGUCAGUCGUAUGACGCGUGUGCAAUGCCAUACACACGAUCUUCUACACAUUCAAUCAUAUUAUAAUACAAUAUAUGAACUAGGAUUUCAGUUCACGUUUUUCAAUCCAAUUCCAAUCGUUCAAGCGUACGCUUUAUGUUUGUACCGUCAAAGUAUUUUAAUCAGUUUUCAAUAAAUAAUACAAUGAUCAAAAAUAUAUAUUGCUGGAUUCACGUAAUGCGUUGUAUCAAAUUGUGUAUAUUUUUAUCUUAUUUGUUUUAAUAUAAUUUUUGAAAAUCGUUAA